UGUUGAUGAUGUGGGAAAUCUUAGAGAAGGGACUUGAAUCUCUCCUAUGCAUGAUUGAGAUUUUUAUCUAGAUUCUGUUUGAAUCUUAGGAUCUCACUCCUCUACCU
rfam:Capsicum annuum cultivar Zunla-1 chromosome 9, whole genome shotgun sequence